UGGGCUUACAAGCAAUUCCUAGCAUCA
rnacentral:piRNA from 1 species